rnacentral:rRNA from 1 species
UAGAACUGUGUAAUGAAUGCACCAAUCUCAUCUGAUUUUGGAAGCUAAGCAGGUUCGGGCCUGGUUAGUACUUGGAUAGGAGACAAUAACAGGUGCUAUAGGUUUAAAAACAAAACUGGGUAACAGUACUUU